rnacentral:rRNA from 1 species
ACAGCAGUAGCCGCGGGAAUACGGAGGGUGCAAGCGUUAUCCGGAUUUAUUGGGUUUAAAGGGUCCGUAGGCGGACUUAUAAGUCAGUGGUGAAAGCCUGUCGCUUAACGAUAGAACUGCCAUUGAUACUGUAAGUCUUGAGUAUAUUUGAGGUAGCUGGAAUAAGUAGUGUAGCGGUGAAAUGCAUAGAUAUUACUUAGAACACCAAUUGCGAAGGCAGGUUACCAAGAUAUAACUGACGCUGAGGGACGAAAGCGUGGGUAGCGAACAGGAUUAGAUACCCCGGUAGUCCCUGUCUCUUAUAA